rnacentral:rRNA from 1 species
AAGUUGACGGGGCCCGCACAAGCGGUGGAGUAUGUGGUUUAAUUCGAUGCAACGCGAAGAACCUUACCUGGUCUUGACAUCCCGGAGACCCUUAGGAAACUAGGGGUGCUUCCAUCUGGAAGAAUCUGGAGACAGGUGCUGCAUGGCUGUCGUCAGCUCGUGUCGUGAGAUGUUGGGUUAAGUCCCGCAACGAGCGCAACCCUUGCCUUUAGUUGCCAGCAGUUCGGCUGGGCACUCUAAAGGGACUGCCGGUGUUAAACCGGAGGAAGGUGGGGAUGACGUCAAGUCCUCAUGGCCUUUAUGACCAGGGCUACACACGUACUACAAUGGCCGAUACAAAGGGCAGCGACACUGCGAGGUGAAGCCAAUCCCGUAAAAUCGGUCUCAGUCCGGAUUGGAGUCUGCAACUCGACUCCAUGAAGUUGGAAUCGCUAGUAAUCGUGGAUCAGCAUGCCACGGUGAAUACGUUCCCGGGCCUU